rnacentral:rRNA from 1 species
AGCGAACGCUGGCGGCAGGCCUAACACAUGCAAGUCGAACGAACCUUUCGGGGUUAGUGGCGGACGGGUGAGUAACACGUGGGAACGUGCCUUUAGGUUCGGAAUAACUCAGGGAAACUUGUGCUAAUACCGAAUGUGCCCUUCGGGGGAAAGAUUUAUCGCCUUUAGAGCGGCCCGCGUCUGAUUAGCUAGUUGGUUGAGGUAAUGGCUCACCAAGGCGACGAUCAGUAGCUGGUCUGAGAGGAUGAUCAGCCACAUUGGGACUGAGACACGGCCCAAAACGCGAAGGGGGGCAGGAGGGGAGACGCGGGCGGAAAGGGCGACGGCCGGACGAGGACAUGCAGAAUGAAUGAGGAAGGAAUGAGAAUUCAAGAAUUCUUCCACCGGGGAAGAUAACGACGGAACGCGGAGAAGCAGCCCCGGCGAAUUGCGGGCAAGCAGGCGCAGUAAUAGGCGGAAGAGAACACGUCUGAAC